AUGGAGAGCAGUUUACAGGAUGCAAGUCCACAGCCAAGGGAGUUUCGACUCGAAUUCCUACAACGUAUUACGAAUAAUUUUUCCGAGGACAACAUAAUUGGCGAGGGUGGGUUUGGAGUAGUUUACAAGGGAGUAUUGGACAAUGGAAUUGUGAUUGCUGUGAAGAAGCUUACUCACAAAGGGCUUAACGACAAGGAAUUUAUAAACGAGUUCAAUAACAUUAUUAGGGCCCGUCAUCAAAAUAUUGUACAGUUUUUUGGCUAUUGCUACCAUCCCGGUACUAGUUGGGUUAUGCACAAUGGACAGUAUAUCUUUGCUCAUGAGCCAAUAAGAAUUCUCUGCUUUGAAUAUUUGCACGGUGGAAAUCUUGAGAGUCACCUUUCUGAUGAGCAGCCGUGUAGGCCUGAUUGGCAAACAUGUUACAAGAUAAUUAAGGGAGUUUGUCAGGAUUCCAUUUACCAUCUAGACUUAAAGCCGGCAAAUAUAUUGUUGGGAAACGACAUGAUUCCGAAAAUUGGAGAUUUUGGUAUAUCAAGGAUCUUCCCUUCCACAAAAACCGUUACCACCACAACAAGAAUGAUGGGGACAAUGGGAUUCAUGCCACCGGAAUAUAUCAACGAACAAGAAAUCUCACCAAAAUAUGAUGUGUUUAGUUUGAGUGCUAUUAUCAUACAAAUAAUGACAGGACGCCAGAGCUACCAUGAUUCUGGAAGUGUUCCUUCCGAAAAAAUGAUCGAUCUUGUAUGUGAAAAAUGGCAGAAGCUACAUCCAACAAUGUCAUUACAAACAUGGGAAGAAGUUAAAACAUGCAUCGGAAUAGCAUUAAGAUGUCUGCAGGAUGACCGACAUAAAAGACCAACCAUAAUAGAGAUCAUCGAUGAACUUAAUAGGAUUGAUAUUGAAGCAUUGUCGCUUACAAUUGAGGUAUUGAAAGAUUAG
rnacentral:rRNA from 1 species